UGACGGUUAACGGGGGAUUAGGGUUCGAUUCCGGAGAGGGAGCCUGAGAAACGGCUACCACAUCUAAGGAAGGCAGCAGGCGCGCAAAUUACCCAAUUCUAACAGCAUAAGAGAGGUAGUGACAAGAAAUAACAAUACAAGGCAGUUAAAAUGCUUUGUAAUUGGAAUGAUAGAAAUUUAAACACUUUUUAAAGUAUCAAUUGGAGGGCAAGUCUGGUGCCAGCAGCCGCGGUAAUUCCAGCUCCAAUAGCGUAUAUUAAAAUUGUUGCAGUUAAAAAGCUCGUAGUUGAAUUUCUGCUAAAAAAAACCGGUCUGCUUUUAAUAAAAGUGGUAUCUUGGUGUGUUUUUAGCAAUAAUGUCUUUUGGAAUGUUUUAUUACUUUAUUGUAAUAAAUCAUAUUCAGGGUUUUUACUUUGAGAAAAUUAGAGUGUUUCUAGCUAGGCUAACGCUUUGAAUACUGCAGCAUAGAAUAAUAAAAUAGGGAUUUUAGUUCUACAUUAUUGGUUUUA
rnacentral:rRNA from 1 species